GGAGAGGUGGCCGAGUGGCUGAAGGCAGCUGCCUGCUAAGCAGUUAUAGGAGUGAUCCUAUCCAGGGUUCGAAUCCCUGCCUCUCCG
rnacentral:tRNA from 1 species